rnacentral:rRNA from 1 species
CCUACGGGAGGCAGCAGUGGGGAAUAUUGGGCAAUGGGCGCAAGCCUGACCCAGCAACGCCGCGUGAAGGAAGAAGGCUUUCGGGUUUUAAACUUCUUUUUUCAGGGACGAAGCAAGUGACGGUACCUGACGAAUAAGCCACGGCUAACUACGUGCCAGCAGCAGCGGGAAUACGUAGGGGGCAAGCGUUAUCCGGAUUUAAUGGGUGUAAAGGGCGAGUAGGCGGGACUGUAAGUUAGAUGUGAAAACCAAGGGCUCAACCUGUGGCCUGCCUUUGAAACUGUAGUUCUUGAGUACUGGAGAGGUAUACGGAAUUCCUGGUGUAGCGGUGAAAUGCGUAGAUAUUAGGAGGAACACCAGUGGCGAAGGCGGUAUACUGGACAGCAACUGACAUUGAUGCUCGAAAGUGUGGGUAUCAAACAGGAUUAGAUACCCGAGUAGUC